CCUACGGGUGGCAGCAGUAGGGAAUAUUGCUCAAUGGGGGAAACCCUGAAGCAGCAACGCCGCGUGGAGGAUGAAGGUCUUCGGAUUGUAAACUCCUUUUGUUAGAGAAGAUAAUGACGGUAUCUAACGAAUAAGCAACGGCUAACUCCGUGCCAGCAUCCGCUGUCAUACGGAGGGCGCACGCGUUAAUCGGAAUCACUGGGCGUAAAGGGCGCGUAGGGGGGAUUGCAAGUCAGAUGUGAAAUCCUAUGGCUUAACCAUAGAACUGCAUUUGAAACUGUUAUUCUAGAGUAUGGGAGAGGUAGGUGGAAUGCUUGGUGUAGGGGUAAAAUCCGUAGAGAUCAAGAAGAAUACUCAUUGCGAAGGCGACCUACUAGAACAUAACUGACGCUGAUGCACGAAAGUGUGGGUAUCGAACAGGAUUAGAUACCCGAGUAGUC
rnacentral:rRNA from 1 species